CCGCCCACCAACCCCUGGCUUCUCUGUCCUACAGCUGAAGGGGAGAAGACUGCUGCCUGGUGGGGACACCUUGGUACACCGCCUUCUCGCCCUCUCGGCUUCUCUGAAAAGAAGGCUACCGGACAAAGAGGUGGGUGGAGGAAAGAAGAAUGCAAAGGCAACACUGGGGCCGAAGGCUAAGCAGCAGACUCAGGUGGAGAUGUGAUCCUGGUGGCCCUUUGGCUGAAGAACAUUGGCAGAAUUGGAGGUCCCACUGAGACUGAGCUGACACCUUCACUGCCUUGGACCAGGGCCCUCACUCAACUCAGUAACUGUGCGCACAUCGUUUAGGGGGUGGGCACUAGGUCCUGGCGGUUUUUUUUUGUUGUUUUUUUUUUUUUUAAAGCUCCCUAGGUGAUUAGAAUGUGCAUCCUGGCUUUUGAGGGAUGGGGUGACAAGCCAUUUCAGGAGGUCACAGAGGGGUCGGAAGGGCAGCGCCUGUAAAGCAGUGACCUUGGUCCCUGCCUGUGGUAUUCAGUUAGUGUGAACUGUCAUUUCUUUUUUGCUGUGCCUUCUUCAUUUUGCU
rnacentral:lncRNA from 1 species